CAUGGUCAACUAAGAAGUAUCACGUUGAGUUGGAGAAACCCAAGACUGGAGCCUGGAAUGGUGAGCCACUACAUGGGGAACAGAUGUCCUGACGAGCCCCCUGGACCUGUAGUGGAUUUAGUGUGAACAAAACUUUCGUUGCGUUAAUGCCUGAAGAUUUGAGAGGAUGUUUAUUACCAUAGCCUAAUCUGGCCUAGUCUAAUAUCCUGGUAGGUGUAUACACACACACACACACACACACACACACACACACACACACACACGUCAAGAAGAAUGUGCAGAGCCAGCUCUUGGUUCUAUUUCUAAUCAUAUCUUCUAAUUCUCACAAAUUACACAGAGGAUGGGGGGUAGAGAUGACUCCUCUCCUCUCCCUGUUGCCUCCAGCUCCUCACCUGGGGUACUGGGAACCUUGGCUCUCAGGGUCACCUCUUGUGCUUGCUUCUCAGGUGGUCAUCGCUCAUACCCAAGCUACUUGUCCUGACUCCCCUCACUCCCUCUCGGGGUCUGGCAGCAUCCCCUUCCUAGCCUCUGUUCUAUAUCAACUGAGCUCAGACCUGAAAACUAGGUUAGGAUUAAAGUACGGUGUCCAGGGACUAGAAAAGAAAGGAGCCUUUUUCAUGAGACUAUUCAAAAGAAUAGAACUCCUUAAGGAAGCAUUGCAAUCCACAUGUACACACUGUUUAAAAAAAUGCCAAGAAUGCAGUUUGACUCCUUGAGAUCUAGACUUCUGCUCCUGAUAAUAAGCAACAGACGCCACUUGCUCAGCACUUUCCCGGGUGCUCUGCCUGGACUCCAGGGAAAAAGUUCGUCAUCGCACAGCACACUGGCCUGCUCUCGUGUGUCUUUCUCUUCCAUCUGGGUUGCACUUUCCCUCUUCUUCAUCUGGCUAACCCUUCAUCCUUCAGAACACUCCUCACUCCUCAUGGUGUCAAGGAAGCUUCUCCUGACACCCCCAGAGUCUGGAUUAAGUCCUGCCCCGUGUGCUUCUGUGGCAGCCCUGCCUGCCUCUACCAUGACACUUACUCCACUGUCUUAA
rnacentral:lncRNA from 1 species